GGGCGUCGGGUCGCUGUACUACCUCGCCUACGCCGCGGGGGAGGUCGAGCUCACCGACCUCGCGUGGCUCUGGUCCACGGUCGCCUUC
rnacentral:tRNA from 1 species